rnacentral:rRNA from 1 species
GAUGAACGCUGGCAGCGUGCUUAAUACAUGCAAGUCUUUCGAGCAGACGAGGAGCUUGCGCCUCUGACGGUAGCGGGGGACGGGAUAGUGUCAGGUGGAUAACCUACCGAUAGGACUAGAAUAACGUCGCGACACCUGAGAUCAGGCCAGGUCAUAUGUUCUACCGUCUGGCCUAAUAGAGAAAGACGGUUUUGCUGUGACUUGUAUACUGUUACACUGUGCAUUAGCUAGUUGCUAAGGUACGGGCUUACAGAUGCAACGAUUCGUAGCCGCCCUGACAGGGUGAUCGGCCACACUGGAAAUGAGAGACGGCCCAGACUCCUACGGGAUGCAGCAGUAGCGAAUCUUCCGCAAUGGGCGAAAGAAUGACGGAGCAACGCCGCGUGAGUGAUGAAGGUCUUCUGAUCGUACAACUAUGUUAUUAGGGAAGAAAAAAUCUGUAAGUAACUAUGCACGUAUUGACGGUACCUAAUCAGAAAGCCACGGCUAAAUACGUG